UACAGAGGUCCCAAGCGUUGUUCGGAUUUACUGGGCGUAAAGGGUGCGUAGGCGGUCGGGUAAGUCUGAUGUGAAAUCCCUCGGCUUAACCGGGGAACUGCGUCUGAUACUGGAUGGCUUGAAUCCGGGAGAGGGAUGCGGAAUUCCAGGUGUAGCGGUGAAAUGCGUAGAUAUCUGGAGGAACACCGGUGGCGAAGGCGGCAUCCUGGACCGGUAUUGACGCUGAGGCGCGAAAGCCAGGGGAGCAAACGGG
rnacentral:rRNA from 1 species